UGCCUCUCGCUCUCAAGCAGUGGCUGAAGGGCUGCGAGGCUCAGGAUAUAGUGGUAGUGCUCCCGUGGGUGCUAUGCUGUGGCUUAUCAUGGUCGACUGUGUCGGUCAUUAUCAGACAAACAUGCAACUCCACCUCCUCAUCUGUCCAGACAAAAUUGUCAGCUUUUGUUGUUUGCUUUGCCAUGUUUUGUGCUAUUAGGGAGAGAAGUAGAAGGAAGGUUGUACGCUGCCGCGCAGACUUGGUGGAUCAAACUUCACACACUUUUGCGUCACCAUGUGCACGCUGAUU